rnacentral:tRNA from 1 species
GGUGGCUCAGUGGUAGUGCGUUUGCCUUGCAUGCAUGAGGCCUUGGGUUCGAUUCCCCAGCACCA